rnacentral:lncRNA from 1 species
CAAACCGCAGCUUUAAUCAGAGCCUGCCUGAUGAAACCUGUUUACACGCUUGCCAUUGUUCAUGAGCCACGUUCAUUAGGCAAGCAGCGUUAAUGACGAUCCCAAGGCAGGAACUUUAAUCAGAGGGGAGGGCGAGGGACAGCCUUCCCUGGUGCUGUUCCAAUGAGUGCUCCCAGCAGCCCCCAGCCCCCAGCAGCACGGAACACUGCCAAGUGUGGAGCAUAACUCGUUCAAGAAGGGGGAAAUGAGAGGCAAAGUAAUAAUCAAAAUGCUCCAAAGGAGAAGACCAGAGGCUUUCAUCAAGGAUGAGAAUAAAGCUGCGCCCUGGAAACUUGGAAGGCAGCAAACCUAAAGCUGGCAAAACAUGCCUUCACCAGUCAGACAGCUCCUUUGUGCUGUGCUGGUUUUUUACAUGGGCAGAUAGUGAUGGACAAGGGGGAAUGGCUUUAAACUAGAAGACGGGAGAUUCGGGUCAGGUAUUAGGAGGAAAUCCUUUACUCGGAUGCAGUGAGGAGCUGCCCACAGCUGUGGGUGCUCCAUUGCUGGAGGUGCCCAAGGCCACGGACAGGGCUCUGGGUGACCUGCUCACCCCCUCCAUGGCAGCAGGUUGGAACUGGGUGUGCUUUGGGGUCCCUUGCAACCCAGCCAUUCUAUGGUUCUACGCUACUGUGAUUCUACGAUUCCAUGUUUCUGUGAAUAAACAGGCUCCUGGGGUUGCACGGUGGUGGUGGGCUGAGCCCAGAGCUGCACGCGUUGGAGGUCCCAGGGUCCCACCAGGGCUCAGCCCGCGGUGUCAAACGCUUCCCUCUAAUAAGCAAGGAGAAAACAACACCAGUCAUAGCGAACUUCACAAAAUGAUUCACUGGAGGACGGAGGGAACUGGUGUCUUUUUGCUUGAAGAACUUAAUAAGACAUCCACAGCAACUCCAAGCCGUAUUGUUAUAUUCAAUUACUUAUGAGGCCCCAAGUUUCUCCACUUUAAUUGCUCGAAGCAGGGAAGCUUUAGUCACAGUGUAAUGUACCCAGGCAUGUAUGGGGUUUAAUGAAUCAUACUAACUCUGCACUCUAAGCAAUUAGGUAAAUCUAGCUGUUAGUUAGUGAGGCAUAAAAUAAAUUUAAUCUCUCUUCUAAAAAAUCA